UACGUAGGGGGCAAGCGUUGUCCGGAAUCAUUGGGCGUAAAGAGCGUGUAGGCGGUUCGGCAAGUCUCUAGUGAAAUCUCUGGGCUCAACUCAGAGUCUGCUGGGGAAACUGCCGGGCUUGAGUGUGGGAGAGGAGAGUGGAAUUUCCGGUGUAGCGGUGAAAUGCGUAGAUAUCGGAAGGAACACCUGUGGCGAAAGCGGCUCUCUGGACCACAACUGACGCUGAGGCGCGAAAGCUAGGGGAGCAAACAGG
rnacentral:rRNA from 1 species